rnacentral:rRNA from 1 species
UGGGGAAUUUUGGACAAUGGGCGAAAGCCUGAUCCAGCAAUACCGCGUGUGUGAUGACGGCCUUCGGGUUGUAAAGCACUUUCAGUUGUGAAGAAAUGUGCAUGGUUAAUACCCAUGUAAGCUGACGUUAACAACAGAAGAAGCACCGGCUAACUCUGUGCCAGCAGCCGCGGUAAUACAGAGGGUGCAAGCGUUAAUCGGAAUUACUGGGCGUAAAGAGUACGUAGGUGGUUUGUUAAGUCACAUGUGAAAGCCCCGAGCUCAACUUGGGAACUGCAUGUGAUACUGGCAAGCUAGAGUAUAGUAGAGGGAAGUGGAAUUUCCGGUGUAGCGGUGAAAUGCAUAGAUAUCGGAAGGAACAUCAGAGGCGAAGGCGACUUCUUGGGCUAUUACUGACACUGAGGUACGAAAGCGUGGGGAGCGAACAGG